rnacentral:lncRNA from 1 species
CUAGGCGACUGGUGUGGAUUGGUGUUGAUGAGAUGUGGCUUCCAGCGUUGCCCGACUCAGACCUGUUUCCAGUCUGGAUGGAGCGGACCGACCGCGUAGGAUGGGAUGAUGGCUAUGGGGUGAGAGGAACAAAUGAAACUCAACAGCUAAGGAAAAAAAGAAAUGAAGAACUGGUGCCACUUUUCCACACGUUCUUUUUGCUCCUGAGUUGACAUGGCCUUUGGCUUUUCUACCUGGAGAAAAAAAAUCAAGAGUAUGUAACUUUCCCUGCAGAUGGUCUGUCUGUAAGGGCUGACACAGGAGCCUUUGGGAGCCAGUAUCUAUUUUGUUUCCGACUGCAAAGUUCCAGCCAAUGAUUUGGAGGGGGGGGGAUGGGGUGGGGGGUGGGUACCUUCUGCUGGGAGCUAGUCUGGGAGGGAACAACUCAUUCCUGAGUUCUCUUUCGCAAACAUAUCUCUUGUUCAUUAAAAUAACAGUAAUAAAAAUAAGAAUAAUAAUUAAAA